rnacentral:rRNA from 1 species
GAAGACCAAGGGUUCCUGUCCAACGUUAAUCGGGGCAGGGUGAGUCGACCCCUAAGGCGAGGCCGAAAGGCGUAGUCGAUGGGAAACAGGUUAAUAUUCCUGUACUUGGUGUUACUGCGAAGGGGGGACGGAGAAGGCUAUGUUGGCCGGGCGACGGUUGUCCCGGUUUAAGCGUGUAGGCUGGUUUUCCAGGCAAAUCCGGAAAAUCAAGGCUGAGGCGUGAUGACGAGGCACUACGGUGCUGAAGCAACAAAUGCCCUGCUUCCAGGAAAAGCCUCUAAGCAUCAGGUAACAUCAAAUCGUACCCCAAACCGACACAGGUGGUCAGGUAGAGAAUACCAAGGCGCUUGAGAGAACUCGGGUGAAGGAACUAGGCAAAAUGGUGCCGUAACUUCGGGAGAAGGCACGCUGAUAUGUAGGUGAAGUCCCUCGCGGAUGGAGCUGAAAUCAGUCGAAGAUACCAGCUGGCUGCAACUGUUUAUUAAAAACACAGCACUGUGCAAACACGAAAGUGGACGUAUACGGUGUGACGCCUGCCCGGUGCCGGAAGGUUAAUUGAUGGGGUCAGCGCAAGCGAAGCUCUUGAUCGAAGCCCCGGUAAACGGCGGCCGUAACUAUAACGGUCCUAAGGUAGCGAAAUUCCUUGUCGGGUAAGUUCCGACCUGCACGAAUGGCGUAAUGAUGGCCAGGCUGUCUCCACCCGAGACUCAGUGAAAUUGAACUCGCUGUGAAGAUGCAGUGUACCCGCGGCAAGACGGAAAGACCCCGUGAACCUUUACUAUAGCUUGACACUGAACAUUGAGCCUUGAUGUGUAGGAUAGGUGGGAGGCUUAGAAGUGUGGACGCCAGUCUGCAUGGAGCCGACCUUGAAAUACCACCCUUUAAUGUUUGAUGUUCUAACGUUGACCCGUAAUCCGGGUUGCGGACAGUGUCUGGUGGGUAGUUUGACUGGGGCGGUCUCCUCCUAAAGAGUAACGGAGGAGCACGAAGGUUGGCUAAUCCUGGUCGGACAUCAGGAGGUUAGUGCAAUGGCAUAAGCCAGCUUGACUGCGAGCGUGACGGCGCGAGCAGGUGCGAAAGCAGGUCAUAGUGAUCCGGUGGUUCUGAAUGGAAGGGCCAUCGCUCAACGGAUAAAAGGUACUCCGGGGAUAACAGGCUGAUACCGCCCAAGAGUUCAUAUCGACGGCGGUGUUUGGCACCUCGAUGUCGGCUCAUCACAUCCUGGGGCUGAAGUAGGUCCCAAGGGUAUGGCUGUUCGCCAUUUAAAGUGGUACGCGAGCUGGGUUUAGAACGUCGUGAGACAGUUCGGUCCCUAUCUGCCGUGGGCGCUGGAGAACUGAGGGGGGCUGCUCCUAGUACGAGAGGACCGGAGUGGACGCAUCACU